AUGAAUGGCAACAGCAGCAGCAGGGGCGGGGGAGGGUACGAGAGCGGGAGCGACCAGGACGGCGGGAUGCGGAAGCCGCUGCUGGUGAACACGGGGAGCUGGUACAGGAUGGGGAUGGGGUCGCGGCAGUCGAGCCUCACGGCGGGGACCUCGUCCAUGGCCGUCAUGCGGGAGUCCCACGUCUCCGCCUUCCUCUGCACGCUCAUCGUCGCCCUGGGACCCAUCCAGUUCGGCUUCACCGGCGGCUUCUCCUCCCCCACCCAGGACGCCAUCAUCCGGGACCUCAACCUCUCCAUCUCCGAGUUCUCGGUGUUCGGCUCGCUCUCCAACGUCGGCGCCAUGGUCGGGGCCAUCGCCAGCGGCCAGAUGGCGGAAUACAUUGGCCGCAAAGGGUCGUUGAUGAUUGCGGCGAUUCCUAACAUCAUUGGUUGGCUUGCCAUCUCCUUCGCGAAAGACUCGUCCUUUCUGUAUAUGGGACGAUUGCUUGAAGGAUUUGGUGUUGGGGUCAUAUCCUACACGGUGCCAGUGUACAUAGCAGAGAUUUCCCCUCAGAACAUGAGAGGCGCUCUUGGCUCUGUGAACCAGCUGUCUGUAACAAUUGGUAUCUUGUUGGCCUAUUUGCUCGGCAUGUUUGUUCCUUGGAGGAUGCUUGCAGUGAUAGGAAUCUUGCCGUGCACAAUCUUGAUUCCUGGCCUAUUUUUCAUUCCAGAAUCUCCAAGAUGGCUGGCAAAGAUGAACAAGAUGGAGGAUUUCGAGACCUCUCUACAGGUUUUGAGGGGAUUUGAGACUGACAUCACGUCAGAAGUGAAUGACAUAAAGAGAGCAGUAACAUCAGCAAACAAAAGGACUACAAUCCGUUUUCACGAGUUAAACCAAAAGAAGUUCCGCACGCCCUUGACACUAGGAAUUGGCCUGCUUGUACUGCAACAGCUAAGUGGAAUCAACGCUAUACUGUUUUAUGCAAGUAGCAUUUUCAAAGCUGCAGGUCUUACAAAUAGUGACUUGGCCACAUGUGCUCUUGGAGCUAUUCAAGUUGUUGCCACUGGAGUUACAACCUGGUUACUAGACAGAGCUGGACGACGGAUCCUACUUAUUAUAUCUUCUGCUGGGAUGACUCUAAGCCUUCUUGCCGUUGCCGUUGUAUUUUUUUUCAAGGACAACGUUUCACAAGAUUCUCACAUGUAUUACAUAUUAAGCAUGACCUCCUUGAUCGCUAUCGUGGCUUAUGUAAUCGCCUUCUCCUUUGGUAUGGGUGCUAUUCCAUGGGUCAUAAUGUCUGAGAUUCUACCGGUUAGCAUUAAGAGUCUUGCAGGAAGCUUCGCGACACUAGCCAACUGGCUGACAUCCUUUGCAAUGACAAUGACAGCAAACUUGCUGCUCAGCUGGAGUGCCGGAGGGACUUUUGUGUCCUACAUGAUCGUGAGCGCUUUCACUCUCGUCUUCGUCGUCCUUUGGGUGCCAGAGACAAAGGGAAGAACUCUCGAGGAGAUACAAUGGUCGUUCCGAUGAGUGCCGUGGUAUUCCCAUACGCCGUGAUUCUUGGGAGUUGGGUAUUAUUGGUUUGUUUUUUACAACUCCAAGUCGAUUACUGGAUGAAGCCCAAGAAUUCUUUCUGUCCAUAAAACGUUGUUUGUAUAUUCCUGCACAACAUUGUUCCCAAUUGAUUUUGUAAAAGGCUUGUGAAGCGACUCUCAUCUCAUCAGAUUGCUUUUAUUUGCUGUAGCAUGAUCAGCAGGGUUGUCGCAGAAAUAAAAUGAGGACGAAGGAGGAGAUUUGGUGGGCCCUAAUAGCAAAGCAAUCAAGCUUGACAGUACUGUUGUCGUUUGUUUGGUUGUGAGCCAAGUUUUGAACUCUUUUACAGCUGUAUCGUCUUGGUAUGACCACUAGAAUCAAAGUGCUUCCUUCUGGAAAUAAAAGCAAGCAAGCAAGCUGGAAAUUGAAAUUCCUCACCAUCGCUAUUGCUUUGUAAAGAAAGAAGUAUCCGAUUCUGAGCAGCUGAAAGAAGGUGGUGUCUCGAUCUAAAUGAUGCAGAUAGCAGUAUGGCACAAGCAAGGAGCUAAUCCAUGGUGUACCCUGGCCAAAAGCACAUGGUGCUGUGGCAUGUAGUACUCGGCUAGCUAUAAGAGUUGCAGUAUCCUCUGCAAGCAGAAACACAAUCAGGUUAUCAGGACAAAAGAGCUGGGAGGCAGGAGGUGCACAUAAGCACAUUGUUGGUGUGCUCAGUCGCCACCUUGAGGUCGAUAUCAUGUCAUCUAUCGCCUGCACCACCGAUGGUUCGGAGCUCUUCUCCAAGCAUGUGAAUGGGUUGUUGUUGCAUGUGGACACUCUCCUGGUGGCGAACGCCAUAUUGAUGGGAGUCAUAGUCGGGUUAGGCGCCUAUCGGCAUCGCUAUCGCCACCAUCCUUUGAUCCGCUUCAUCUACCUCGGAGCCACCACCUUGUUUCUACCCAUCGUCUCCUAUGUCACCUCCACCCUUGAAAAUCCAUACACCCCCAUUGUUUAUGUAGCAGGCAACCGAUUUGUAACAGCAAACUGUUACACAGAUGAUCACGUCACCCUUGUUGUAUUGUGGAUAGGUCUUGUUCAGAUCGUCGGUACCAAUGCCACUGCAAUAGUGGCUAGUGAUUCUAGAGAAGGACGAAGCAUUGCACCACCUGCAGUGCAGCUUGUUCAA